rnacentral:miRNA from 1 species
GCUGUUGGCAACUGGCACUGUGGUUCCUGCAUGAAAACAGUGGCUGGUGGGGCCUGGACCUACAACACUACAUCUGCUGUCACAGUGAAGUCUGCC